GACGAGCCACACGAACGUUAUUCGGAAUUACUGGGCUUGAAGGGUGCGUAGGCGGUGCGGAAAGUUGGGUGUGAAAUCCCUCGGCUCAACCGAGGAACUGCGCUCAAAACUACCGUACUUGAGGAAGAUAGAGGUGAGCGGAACUUACGGUGGAGCGGUGAAAUGCGUUGAUAUCGUAAGGAACACCCGUGGCGAAAGCGGCUCACUGGGCCUUUUCUGACGCUGAUGCACGAAAGCUAGGGGAGCAAACGGG
rnacentral:rRNA from 1 species